rnacentral:tRNA from 1 species
GGGGAAGUAGCUCAGAUGGUAGAGCAAUGUUUACGCUUAACAGUGGUUCGAGGUUUGAUUCCUUGCUUCUCCA